rnacentral:rRNA from 1 species
UUUCAACAACGGAUCUCUUGGUUCUGGCAUCGAUGAAGAACGCAGCGAAAUGCGAUAAGUAGUGUGAAUUGCAGAAUUCAGUGAAUCAUCGAAUCUUUGAACGCACAUUGCGCCCCUUGGUAUUCCAUGGGGCAUGCCUGUUCGAGCGUCAUUUGUACC